GACGAACGCUGGCGGCGUGCCUAAUACAUGCAAGUCGAACGCAGUGGGGACGGGUGAGUAACACGUGGGUCACCUCCCAUCAGAGGGGAUAACACUUGGAAACAGGUGCUAAACCGAUACUGAUGGAUGGACCCUCAGUGCAUUUGCUAGUUGGUGAGGUAACGGCGCACCAAGGCCACGAUGCAUAGCGGACCUGAGAGGGUGACCGGCCACACGGGAACUGAGAAACGGCCCAGACGCCGACGGGAGGCAGAAGUAGGGAAUCUGCGGCAAUGGAGGAAAGUCUGACGGAGCAACGCCGCGUAAGUGAAGAAGGUUUUCGGAUCGUAAAACUCGGUAGUUGGAGAAGCGGUAUCUGAACAGAAAGCCACGGCUAACUACGUGCCAGCCGCCGCGGUAAUUC
rnacentral:rRNA from 1 species